UUGUAGUAUUAUGAAGAGAUGGAACAAUCUGGAAUCCACUUGACAAAAGAAGUUUUUGUAGCCCUGAUUCAUGCAUAUGUACCUUGCGGUGAAUAUUAUGAAGAACAAGAUAACAAGGAUGUGUUAUGAAAUUUACAUGGCGAGUUGGAGAGGGUGCUUCUCCUACUCAAGGAGUUGAGUGGUCAAGAUUGGGUUGACGGUUGCAGGUGGGCUAUCCGGUACUCAGUUCAAAACAAAAAUUUAAUUUCUACCAUUGAACUGUUUAAACAACUCAAGGAUUAUUACAAAAAUGAUGCACCCGAAAGAAG